UGGGGAAUUUUGGACAAUGGGCGAAAGCCUGAUCCAGCAAUGCCGCGUGUGUGAAGAAGGCCUUCGGGUUGUAAAGCACUUUUGUCCGGAAAGAAAUCCUUGGCUCUAAUACAGUCGGGGGAUGACGGUACCGGAAGAAUAAGCACCGGCUAACUACGUGCCAGCAGCCGCGGUAAUACGUAGGGUGCAAGCGUUAAUCGGAAUUACUGGGCGUAAAGCGUGCGCAGGCGGUUUGCUAAGACCGAUGUGAAAUCCCCGGGCUCAACCUGGGAACUGCAUUGGUGACUGGCAGGCUAGAGUAUGGCAGAGGGGGGUAGAAUUCCACGUGUAGCAGUGAAAUGCGUAGAGAUGUGGAGGAAUACCGAUGGCGAAGGCAGCCCCCUGGGCCAAUACUGACGCUCAUGCACGAAAGCGUGGGGAGCAAACAGGAUUAGAUACCCUGGUAGUCCACGCCCUAAACGAUGUCAACUAGUUGUUGGGGAUUCAUUUCCUUAGUAACGUAGCUAACGCGUGAAGUUGACCGCCUGGGAAGUACGGUCGCAAGAUUAAAACUCAAAUGAAUUGACGGGGUCAUAGCUGUUUCCU
rnacentral:rRNA from 1 species